UACGUAUGGUGCAAGCGUUAUCCGGAUUUACUGGGUGCAAAGGGAGCGCAGGCGGCACGGCAAGCCUGAUGUGAAAGCCCGCGGCCCAACCGCGGGACUGCAUUGGGAACUACCGGGCUGGAGUGCCGGAGAGGUAGGCGGAAUUCCUAGUGUAGCGGUGAAAUGCGUAGAUAUUAGGAGGAACACCAGUGGCGAAGGCGGCCUACUGGACGGUGACUGACGCUGAGGCUCGAAAGCGUGGGGAGCAAACAGG
rnacentral:rRNA from 1 species